AGUGAACGCUGGCGGCGUACUUAACACAUGCAAGUCGAACGAGAACGGGAUAUAGCUUGCUAUAUUUGUCAGCUAAGUGGCGCACGGGUGAGUAAUGUAUAGAUAACCUGCCCUCUAGAAAGGAAUAACAGUUGGAAACGACUGCUAAUGCCCUAUAUGCCUUUAAUACAUAAGUAUGCAAGGGAAACGCUUUAGUGCUAGAGGAUGGGUCUGUAUGGUAUCAGCUUGUUGGUGAGGUAAUGGCUCACCAAGGCUAUGACGCCUAACUGGUUUGAGAGGAUGAUCAGUCACACUGGAACUGAGACACGGUCCAGACUCCUACGGGAGGCAGCAGUGGGGAAUAUUGCACAAUGGACGAAAGUCUGACGCAGCAACGCCGCGUGGAGGAUGACACAUUUCGGUGCGUAAACUCCUUUUAUAUAGGAAGAUAAUGACGGUACUAUAUGAAUAAGCACCGGCUAACUCCGUGCCAGCCGCCGCGGUAA
rnacentral:rRNA from 1 species